GGCAAGAUGGCCGAGUGGUUAAGGCGUAAGUAGUGACUGCCAGAAUUUCUCAGGGAUAAGAGUACUGACCAGACCAAUAGGUUGCCCUUAAGAUGCAAUAUCGUAAGAUUCGUGGGUUCGAACCCCACUCUUGCCA